UACGAAGGGGGCUAGCGUUGCUCGGAAUCACUGGGCGUAAAGCGCACGUAGGCGGCUUUUUAAGUCAGGGGUGAAAUCCUGGAGCUCAACUCCAGAACUGCCUUUGAUACUGAGAAGCUUGAGUCCGGGAGAGGUGAGUGGAACUGCGAGUGUAGAGGUGAAAUCGUAGAUAUCGCAAGAACACCAGUGGCGAAGGCGGCUCACUGGCCCGGUACUGACGCUGAGGUGCGAAAGCGUGGGGAGCAACAGG
rnacentral:rRNA from 1 species